AUUCCGAACACACCGUCAAAACAACGACCGUCAAAAGAACGACCGCCAUAACGCUGUGUAAGGACUUGGACGCAGGCAUCAAAAUCAGCCCAGCUGAGUUGCUUCAUGCCAUGAGAAUGGCAUUCCAAUGCUUGAUCAGCAGCAAUGAUUCAAGAGAUUCCUCCCCAAGAGCAGAUGCGCAAGUGGUUUCGCAGUCAUCUGCUGUCGCGCGACGUAGAGCUCCAGGAGCUGUAUGAACUCGAGCAGGGAGAGCUCGAUCUUCUGAUGGCAGAGACUGCAGAGAUCCGCUCCGAUUGAGAAAACCGUUCCCGCAGCCAUGGACGAUGGUGCACGGCAGGCUACGUGCUGGAACUCGCCAGGAUCAUUG
rnacentral:rRNA from 1 species